AUGGGGGAAAGCUCGAUAAUGCACAGCGUGACUAAUGCACAAGGCAGCGGCGCAGCUGAGGUUGCUCGGCCUGGGCCAGCCCCAAAGCCACCGCGGGCGCUGACCCGCAGCCUGGCUGGCGAUGCCGGGCAGCCGCGUGCCRUCCGCGCGCGCGCCGCCGCCUUUGUCCGGAGGGAGGGAGGCAGCGCUGCCUGGCUCCGCCGCGCACAGCCCCGGCGCCGCGUGCAGGCAGCACUGUGUGCCAAGGGCCGUGCAGUGGGGACGGUGCAGUGGGGUCUCUGCGGCUGGGGUCCCUCCAGCGGGCUCUCUGUGGCAGGAGUCCAUGCAGCAAGGUCCAUGCAGUGGGGUCUCUACAGCAAGGGUCCAUGCAGUGGGGUCUGUGCAGCAGAGUCUCUGUGGCAGGAGUCCAUGCAGUGGGAUCCAUGCAGCAGGGGUCCAUGCAGCGGGAUCCAUGCAGUGGGGUCUCUGCAGCAGGGGUCCAUGCAAAGGGAUCCAUGCGGCGGGGUCUCUGCAGCAGGGGUCUGUGCAGUGGGAUCCAUGCAGCAGGGGUCCAUGCAAGGGGAUCCAUGCAAAGGGAUCCACGCAGCAUGGUCUCUGCAGCAGGGAGCCUUCAGAGCCUCUGCUCCCAAACGUUUGUGGGGCUGCCUGGCCGCAGGGCGGUGGGGGGGUGCAGAGCGGGGGCUGGCAUGGGGCCGCCCGGCUGCUCUGCGAGGGCAAGGGCGCCCGGCUGAGCGCCUGGGGAGGGCUGCGGGGUCUGAGCAGAGCCCCGGUCCGCCUCAGGUGCCGGCCUCAGCGGGCCCCGCUCCCCGAGGCGCCCGUGCAGCUUGCGCGCGCCGGUGCCACGCUCAGACGGGUCGAUUGUGUUUGACCUUCGUCUACCGAAUGAAUUAUAGAUCUUGUCCGGGGAAGCUGCUCGCCAGCCGGAGCACGGGCAGCCGGGUGCCAACGGCGCGGCGGCACCUGAGCUUGCGCGUCCUCUCCCAGCCCCUCGUGUGCUCAGGACGGGCUCGAACCCACCGGGACGCCGCGGGGUUUGCAGCCCCAGCCCUCUCCGCGGCAGAGCCUGGGGCGGCGGACGCGGAUCUCCCGCYGGGGCCGAGCGGUGCCGAGGGGCUCCCGUGCCGCGGGGGACGCGGCCGCAUGCCGAGCCGGCACGCACGGCGCGUGGGGCGACAGCCGAGGGCGUGCACGCGGGGCUGGCUAUGGGGCUGAGCGGCAGCCCUGCUCCGUGGCCGGCCCCAGGGUCCGGGGUGCCGGGACGAAGGGCCGGGCAGUGCCAGCGUGGGCACGGAGCACACGUCUCCGGAGCCGGCCCUGACCCAGCGCCCCGCGGCCCCCCUCUCCCAGGAUUUCCCAGGGAUAAUCCGGUGUUUCCACGGCCCAGCGCAGGGCUGCACAARGGGGAUCGCCCUGCCGGUACGCGCCCCGCACGCUCCCCAUGCGCUCGGCGGGGUGCAGAGGGGUUCGGGGCACCCACCACGAAGAGGGGGUGCCCGGGGGUGCCUGGCACGGGGAGCGCCCCGCGGCCGGCCCUUGCAGAGCCAUGCUCGCCAACGCGGCCACGAUGCGCAUCCUCAUCAAGGGGGGGAAGGUGGUGAACGACGACUGCACGCUGGAGGCGGACGUCUACAUCGAGAACGGCAUCAUCCAGCAAGUGGGCCGCGAGCUCAUGAUCCCCGGCGGGGCCAAGGUCAUCGAUGCCACCGGCAAGCUCGUCAUCCCCGGCGGCAUCGACACCAGCACCCACUUCCACCAGACCUUCAUGAACGCCACCUGCGUGGACGACUUCUACCACGGCACCAAGGUACCGCCCGGCUCCGGGCGCGGGGGGCUCCCGCCUCGCCGGCGGAGGGCAACGGGGUAGCGGGCGACGAGCCGCGUCCCGGGCCGGCGCGGGCAGGACCUGCUGCGCCGCGGGGCGGUAGCGGGGCUGCAAGCGCGGGAGCCUCCCCGCCGGCCCCCGCUGCCGGCUGCUCCCGCGGGGGCUGGAYGUGCCGGGUCUGCCCCGUUGCACCCCGUUGCACCCCACCUGCGAGGAGAUGCCGAGCAAGAGCCCGAGCCUGCUGCGUGCCCGGGGUGCGCGGUGCCCUGCAUGCUCUGGCGCUGCAGCCUGAGUCCCCGCCGGCUCCCCGGCAGCCGGGCACAGCAGCACGCGCAGCCUGUCACCGUGGCCCCGUCCRCCAGGCGCCCGGCGCUGCAUGCACAAACGCCG
ensembl:lncRNA